CCUGCCGCGUGUGUGAAGAAGGCCUUCGGGUUGUAAAGCACUUUUGUCCGGGAAGAAGUCUUCCGAGCCAAUACCUCGGGAGGAUGACGGUACCGGAAGAAUAAGCACCGGCUAACUUCGUGCCAGCAGCCGCGGUAAUACGAAGGGUGCAAGCGUUACUCGGAAUUACUGGGCGUAAAGCGUGCGUAGGUGGUUCGUUAAGUCUGCCGUGAAAGCCCCGGGCUCAACCUGGGAAUGGCGGUGGAUACUGGCGGACUAGAGUGCGGUAGAGGGUGGUGGAAUUCCCGGUGUAGCAGUGAAAUGCGUAGAGAUCGGGAGGAACAUCUGUGGCGAAGGCGGCCACCUGGACCAGCACUGACACUGAGGCACGAAAGCGUGGGGAGCAAACAGGAUUAGAUACCCUGGUAGUCCACGCCCUAAACGAUGCGAACUGGACGUUGGGAGCAACUAGGCUCUCAGUGUCGAAGCUAACGCGUUAAGUUCGCCGCCUGGGGAGUACGGUCG
rnacentral:rRNA from 1 species